ensembl:lncRNA LINC00320 long intergenic non-protein coding RNA 320
AGUAGAAGGAUAACAUGACAUAGCAGGAAUAAUACUGCCUUUUCUUUCUGGCAUGGAUCAAGAGAAAAGAAAAUACAAGAAAACAGACAGAAGCAAGGCAAGGUACUUCUAUGGAAGGGUGAGCCCUCACAGAUGGAGCAAUGGGGCGCGCACACCUGAACAAGGGAGGGGAAGGAGUUCUUAUCCCUGAUGCAUGUGACCCCUGCUGCUGUGUCCUUCCCCUAUUGGCUAAGGCUUCUGACAGCUUUGGAGAUUGUGACAUUGGAAUAAAGGAAAAACGUACAGGACUCAUGAAGCGCUGAAAUGUUCACAAAUAUCAAGCAAAAGUCAAUGAAAUUUAUUUUGAGCUAUUUACAUCAUUUAAUAAUUGAGCAAGGUAUACUCCUAUGAACAAAAUUUGGAGCAUGUUUGUCUCUCUCUGCCUGGCGUCUUCAGAAUUUGGAAACUAGUUGUCAGGAGUUAACUUUUAUGUGACAAGCUUUACUAGGUCAGGAGCCUAUCGCUGUUUAUAUUCUCUGCAAAGUUUUAAUUGUGAAAAAGGAUUUGAGAUGGUUUAUAAUCAGCUAUAGAAUUUUAACACGUGCUCUCAAAUGCAAGUUUCUGAUAACUUUGGAGAUUGUGACAUUGGAAUAAAGGAAGAGCUGGAAUGUUCAUGAAUAUCAAGCAAAAGUCAUGGAAAUUUAUUUUGAGCUAUUUACAGCAUUUAAUAAUUGAGCAAGGUAUACUCCUAUGAACAAAAUUUGGAGCAUGUUUGUCUCUCUCUGUCUGCCUGGCAUCUACAGAAUUUGGAAACUAGUUUCGUUCCCAGAUUUCCUAAACUUUCCAGAGAAAAUGGUCUUCUCCCUGGCUCAGCAAGAAGAUGAACUUUAAACACUGAGAAACUGGUCAUCUCCCUGGCUCAACCAGAAGAUGAACUUUAAACACUACUCUCAAUGACUUGAUGUUCCCAUCACUACUCCUGUCAUAAAGGGAGGGGACUCAGAUAUUGAGAAUUUUAUGAUAGUGUGAACUGUCUGGUAUGUCAUUUAAGUAAGCCCGUUGCUGAAAUAUUUUCCAUGUUAUUAGAAAGAGCUGAAGAGAGGGAUUGAGAUGGCUUCUUUAUUUUUUGUCUUUUGGGAAUUAAAGGAACCUGGUUCAACAAGGGCCUACACCUAAGUCUCUUGUUGUACCAGAGUACAAUUUAGGACUGCUCCUGAGGAAGGAAUUAGCUAGAAAUCUAGAGAGUAAGGGUAACAGAUUUACAUAGAAUAACAGCCUCAGUAUUUUUGGUUCCUCUCCAGUAAAGAUCACAAAGAAUAUUGCUAAAUCGCUAAAACACCUUUGCAAUAACGUAAGGGCUUACAACUAUAUACCAAUGUAGCUCAGUUACUAAACUGGAGUAAACUAAUUUCUCUUGUGUAGAAAAAUUGGUUGGCUGUGGUUUUAUAGCAGAUCUGCAAUUAUUAAUAGUUAUGCCAAUAAUCGUUUAACAGUGCAUAUGUUAAUAUAUAUGGAAAGACAAUGUGUAUAGACAGAUGUGUAAAAUUGAAAAAUAAACAUAUAACAAGAGAGAAACAUCUAUCGAACAGACAAUAUACAUACACAUCAAACACAACAGCAGUUUUAGUGACCAUAAUAUUUAUUUCUCAUUUUUACAUUGCUUACUUUAGUGACAACUGAAAAUGACAGUUGGCAAUGCAGCUAACAGUUUCAAUAAAAGUAUAAAACAAAAGACUGUGUACAAAGCACCUGUCUUUCCGCUUUUGUAAUCUUCCGUUGGAAAAAAUUUACACACCUAAGUAACCAUCUGUUUUCUUCAAGAAAAAAUCAUUCUUAUUUCUCUCUCUCAUCUUGAAAACAGCUGUCAGCCAGGAGGGCAGAGCUGAAAUUUAUUGCCACAUCACAUGAAGCAUAGAACAGACUCCACUACUCCUUGAGAUUCAAAACUUUGCCUCUCACAAAGUUACCUUUUAUUUUCCUCUUGUUUGUCACUCAUCUCCCCUAGUGUGCUCUUUUUAUUUCUUUUACUAUUAAUAAUAAAA